AGAGGCCGGCGGCGUCCCGUCAUCGCCAAGGAGGAAGGCGAUGGUGGUAGUGGUUGGGUUUCAGCGGAGGGCUGAACGGAGGGUUGAGCGGAGGACGACGGGGCCGUGAGCGGCGCAAGGAGCGUCUGCGUGUGCGGGUUCUGUUUGAGUGAGAAGAAGGGUGACGGCCGGUGGCCUUGCUGCCGUCGUCCGCCGGAAGAGAUUCGGGGAAGAAGGGGGCGAGCUUGGCGUGAAGAGGAAGAGAGUGAGAUAUGUUAUGCGUGUGUGUGUGACCGAGAGAGAGAGUAGGGAAGAAAAGGGGGUGGGAUGUUGGGCUUUAGGUUUGGGCUUUGAAGUGUUGGGCCUUUGUUUUAAAUUUUGAUUUGGGCCGAUUUUAAUUGAGGGUGGACUUGCGAAUUGGGCUCAAUUUAUUUAAUUAGUUAUGGGCCGAUUUUUAUAAGUACUUGGGCCGAGAUUUUUAAUUAAAUGGGCUGGGUUAUUUCUUAAUUUUGGGCCGAUUUUCUAUAUUAAGCUGGGCCUUUGAUUAUUUUAAAAUCAUGGGCUGCCCAAGUAUUUAUUUAAUUGGAUUUGUACAGAUUUUAUUUAAAGGAGCUACACUAUUAUAAUUAAUUAGACUUAUUAAGUUUAAUUAAUUAUUUUCAAAGAGUAAAUUUUUAUAAUAAUAUUAAAUUAUUAUUAUAAGCAUAUUUUAAGUAAAUUACUUAUUAUAUGCUAAGCAUGACAAGAUUUGCAUUAUAUUUUGCAAUAAGAAUAUUUAUGAUUUAAUUGGUUUUAUUUAUAAUUCCAAUUAUUAAAAGAUGAGUAAGAAUAUUGUUGGUGUUCUUAACUCAAGAGAAAAUGUUUUCAAUUAUUUAUUCAUUAAAUUUUGAAAACCCGGCUAAGUGAAUCAUAGAAUAUUAAGCACUACACCAUGACUUAAGAUUAGAAUUCAAGGAGACCUAUUGAGAAUAGAUUUCUUGUAGGCUUUGAGCAACAGGAGGAUUAGCAUUGCUAUUCCGAUUCAGAGAUAAGGAUAAACGACAGGCUUUGCCUAAUCAGGCUUUGAGCAACAGGAGGAUUAGCAUUGCUAUUCCGAUUCAGAGAUAAGGAUAAACGACAGGCUUUGCCUAAUCAGGUUGAGCAGUUGAUGGAAUGGAAUGAUGUUGAGCGGGUGUUCCUUUGACAUUUCGAGAAAUGUAACCUUGAGUAUACAUCUUCAUAUGUAUAUCUCACACGUUUUCCGCUGCAAAACACUUUGAUUAAGAUAGCUCUAUGAUAUGAAGUUGUGAUACGUGUUAUUGGGUAACCACCUUAAUCAGUUCUCAAUUAUGUGUAUCCAAAUAAUCAUAUAUGAUCCUAGCAUUUUAUCUAUGAGUGACAUUUCCAUAUACUUUAAUGUUAA